CCCUUAGAUGUUCUGGGCCGCACGCGCGCUACACUGAUGCAUUCAACGAGUCUAAAACCUGGUCUGAUAGGGCUGGGUAAUCUUUUGAAAGUGCAUCGUGAUUGGGAUAGAUGAUUGCAAUUCUUCAUCUUCAACGAGGAAUGCCUAGUAAACGCAAGUCAUCAGCUUGCAUUGAUUACGUCCCUGCCCUUUGUACACACCGCCCGUCGCUCCUACCGAUUGAAUGAUCCGAUGAAUACCAUGGAUUGAGAGUACGAAUGUGUUCGCUCAUUUCUGCUGCUCGAGAAGUGGAGUAAAUCUUAUCAUUUAGAGGAAGGAGAAGUCGUAACA
rnacentral:rRNA from 1 species